rnacentral:rRNA from 1 species
AGAACGAACGCUGGCGGCAGGCCCAACACAUGCAAGUCGAACGCUCAUAGCAAUACGGGAGUGGCGCACGGGUGAGUAACGCGUGGGCACCUGCCCGGUGGUUUGGGAUAACCGUGGGAAACUGCGGCUAAUACCGGAUACGCCCCUAGGGGGAAAGAUUUAUCGCCAUCGGAUGGGCCCGCGUAGGAUUAGCUAGUUGGUGAGGUAACGGCUCACCAAGGCUACGAUCCUUAGCUGGUCUGAGAGGAUGAUCAGCCACACUGGGACUGAGACACGGCCCAGACUCCGUACGGGAGGCAGCAGGUGGGGAAUAUUGGACAAGUGGGGGACAACCCUGAUCCAGCCAUGCCGCGUGGAGUGAAGAAGGCCGUUCGGGUUAGUAAAGCUUCGUUUGGGUCGGGGACGAU